rnacentral:piRNA from 1 species
UCCCACUUCUCUGGAUUUUCUUGACCUC